UGGGGAAUAUUGCACAAUGGGCGCAAGCCUGAUGCAGCCAUGCCGCGUGUAUGAAGAAGGCCUUCGGGUUGUAAAGUACUUUCAGCGGGGAGGAAGGCGAUAAGGUUAAUAACCUUGUCGAUUGACGUUACCCGCAGAAGAAGCACCGGCUAACUCCGUGCCAGCAGCCGCGGUAAUACGGAGGGUGCAAGCGUUAAUCGGAAUUACUGGGCGUAAAGCGCACGCAGGCGGUCUGUCAAGUCGGAUGUGAAAUCCCCGGGCUCAACCUGGGAACUGCAUUCGAAACCGGCAGGCUAGAGUCUUGUAGAGGGGGGUAGAAUUCCAGGUGUAGCGGUGAAAUGCGUAGAGAUCUGGAGGAAUACCGGUGGCGAAGGCGGCCCCCUGGACAAAGACUGACGCUCAGGUGCGAAAGCGUGGGGAGCAAACA
rnacentral:rRNA from 1 species